rnacentral:lncRNA from 1 species
GGUCUGGUAGGGACAGGGCCGCAGGAGUAUCAGGAGCCUCUGGGAUAAUGUUCUCCUGCAUUACAGACUGUGGUGUGAGUGCUGAGCCCAGUUCAACUGGUGGUAAAACAUCAGUGAGUUCCCCAGAGUGUUCCAUGUGAGCCGGGGUUAAAGGCUGCAGCCUGCCAGGGUGCUCCUCUCCCCGGCCUGGCUGGUCAUUAGGAGCACUGUACUUGUCCUGCAAUUAGUCAUUGGAACUUGUUGUAUGAAAAUGGUCAUGCCUCUGCUUAACCUUGAUCUCAGCUGAUGCUCUGUCCCAGGUAAUUACAAGGAGAGCAUGGGGUUCCUGUUUCUUGGACUGGCUUACUGUUCCCAAAGAAGUGUUAAUGCUUUCUGCUGCUGGCUCAGCAAUGGAGCUGUCUGAAUCAAAUAUCUUCUUUUCAUUGUUUUAGGCAAAAAGUGAAGGUCAAGAUGAGUUUGUUGCUGGCUUUGGGAAUCCCCAGUCUGGACUCUGCCAUGCCUUGCAAGCAGAAAGAUGCCACGUGAAUUCUUGGGCUACAGAAGUUCUGUGACAUCAGAUGAUCACCUCCACUGUCUUCCAGCAUUGUGCCAGCAGGAGAGCCCACCCACUUGUGGAAGUGUGGGUGUUUAAGGAGCUUGAAAACAGCAGCCUGGAAGGUGGAGUUCUAAUGCACUUGGAAAUGCUUCCAUUGCCCUUCCUGCUCGUCAGAAAUCCUGCUUGGUUCCACAGUACGGCGGGGAGUAGCUGUUCGCUGAAAAUUAAUAAUCCUGGAAUGAAGUUUGGGGCAGAGUGUCACUCUAGAAAGAGAAGCGGCCUUCUGGGCAGUCUGAAGACUUAGUAUCAAUUUUUGAGUGUAUCAAAUAAAUGGAUCAAAAGUGAAUAAGGCA